rnacentral:rRNA from 1 species
CGAUGAAGCCCACUUGUGGGUGGAUUAGUGGCGAACGGGUGAGUAACACGUGAGUAACCUGCCCUUGACUCUGGGAUAAGCCUGGGAAACUGGGUCUAAUACCGGAUAUGACUCCUCAUCGCAUGGUGGGGGGUGGAAAGCUUUUUGUGGUUUUGGAUGGACUCGCGGCCUAUCAGCUUGUUGGUGAGGUAAUGGCUUACCAAGGCGACGACGGGUAGCCGGCCUGAGAGGGUGACCGGCCACACUGGGACUGAGACACGGCCCAGACUCCUACGGGAGGCAGCAGUGGGGAAUAUUGCACAAUGGGCGCAAGCCUGAUGCAGCGACGCCGCGUGAGGGAUGACGGCCUUCGGGUUGUAAACCUCUUUCAGUAGGGAAGAAGCCUUUCGGGGUGACGGUACCUGCAGAAGAAGCGCCGGCUAACUACGUGCCAGCAGCCGCGGUAAUACGUAGGGCGCAAGCGUUAUCCGGAAUUAUUGGGCGUAAAGAGCUCGUAGGCGGUUUGUCGCGUCUGCCGUGAAAGUCCGGGGCUCAACUCCGGAUCUGCGGUGGGUACGGGCAGACUAGAGUGAUGUAGGGGAGACUGGAAUUCCUGGUGUAGCGGUGAAAUGCGCAGAUAUCAGGAGGAACACCGAUGGCGAAGGCAGGUCUCUGGGCAUUAACUGACGCUGAGGAGCGAAAGCAUGGGGAGCG